UACGUAGGUGACAAGCGUUGUCCGGAUUUACUGGGCGUAAAGAGCGCGCAGGCGGUCGUUCAAGUCGAGUGUGAAAGCCCCCGGCUCAACUGGGGAGGGUCAUUCGAUACUGAUCGACUCGAAGGCAGGAGAGGGAAGUGGAAUUCCCGGUGUAGUGGUGAAAUGCGUAGAUAUCGGAAGAACACCAGUGGCGAAGGCGGCUCACUGGCCCGUUACCGACGCUCAGGCGCGACAGCGUGGGGAGCAAACAGG
rnacentral:rRNA from 1 species